rnacentral:lncRNA from 1 species
AACAACCUUGCUAGCACAUGGUUGAACCCAAUUUUCUCUUUGCACUUGAAUUACUUAUUUAAUAAGAUUGAUUUGAGUUAAUUAUCCACUAAUAAUCUAAAUAAAUUAGAUUCAUUGGGCUUCAAUUAUUGAAUGUCUAAGAUUUUGGAUCAAAUACAUUAAGGGUUCAAAGUCUUAAUCAAUUUUUUUGGUUGUUUGCAUGGGGUGCCACUUGAUUUGAUCAAGUUGGGCAUGCCCACUUAAAAGAGGAUGUGA